CUAUUUCUUGGGCCGCUCCCGCGGCAUAUGAAGGUUCCCAGGCUAGGGGUCGAAUCGGAGCUGUAGCCACCGGCCUACACCAGAGCCACAGCAACGCGGGAUCCGAGCCGCGUCGGCAACCUACAUCACAGCUCACGGCAAUGCCGGAUCGUUAACCCACUGAGCAAGGGCAGGGACUGAACCCGCAACUUCAUGGUUCCUAGUUGGAUUUGUUAACCACUGUGCCAUGACGGGAACUCCCCUGCCUCCAUUUUUUGACAUCUCCCCAGAAAUCUCUGACAGCUUCCAAGAUACCUGGAUGACAAGCUGUUCCAGGCUCAUCUUGUACAUUUCCUGCCUCAGACCUGAAGUCAGCCCUAUCCCCACAAAGCCUCCCCAGAGCACAGAAGUGGUAAUUAAAGACCACAAGGUUGGUGCUGGGAGUGCUCACUGUUAUUGAGUUGCCCAAAAUAAAGUAUGUGUUUCCUACCUGCAUCCAGGUAGGAAACACACACUUUAUCUUGGAAGGCAACAUACUGAGGCUUCUAAGUCCAAUCUGGGGCUCCGUUUCUCCCUUCAUCUCUGCAAUCCACAUCUCCUUCUGGCCGUGACAGUGUGCAAAGCCUGCUUCUAAAAGAGGAGUGCUGAGGUAUGUCUCCCAUCAAGCGGGAAGUGUGUGACAAAGCACUUAAGUCUUUCCUUCAAUAGUGAACCUGAGCUCUCUGAUGAGGAGGCUUACGUGUGGCUCUGAGAAAAGGCCAUGUCGGGGCCCACAAGGGACCACAUUCUCAUGGCAGGUGAACCAACGUCUUCCACCAUCCUUUGUGGGUGGAUCCUCUCACCUAACUUUUCUCAAUCCUGGCUGCACAUUUGAGUCACAUUGGGAAUUAUAAAAAGCCCUCUCAGUCACAAUGAAGUCAGCAUCUUGGGGACCCUAACAUCCAUAUAGUUUGCAGCCAGGGUAGAGAAUCCCUCGCUUCUCAGCCAAAGGAAGAGAAGGAAGUGAGGAAGAUAGUAGAGGCUGCCUCCAAAGCCCAUUAGCUUGGGUUUGAAGUCUGGCACUGCCAGUUCCUAGCUGUGACAUCUCUGGAAUGGCACUGAUCCAUAGAACCUAGUAAUCGAAAUGUCCAAUAUGGUAGCCACGAGCCCCAUAUGGCUAUUAGUGCAAUGAGGGAGUGAAUUUUUUUUUAUUAAAUGUUUUUAAAUUUAUUUAUUAUUAGUGUAUCAUUGGCUUACAAGGUUGUGCCAAGAUUUUUAAAAACGUAACUAAUUUACACUGAAAUAGCCACAAGUGGCCAAUAGCUACCAACUUGGACAGCACCACUCAGGAAAAUUACUUAACAUCUAGGAGCCUCAAAUCUGUAAAACAGGGGCUAAUAAGAGUUACUUCCUUGGGCCGCUGUCAGGAUUAGGGAUAAUGUAUAUUAAGUGCCUGGUACACACAAGGCAUUCAAUAAAAUGCUGUUUAUUUUCCUUAUUAACAUCAGCCUGUCACUCUGCAAAGAAAAAAACAAAAGCUGGUCUGGAAAAAUGAGUGCUCAGAAGCACCCCACCCCAGACACUAAAAAUGCUCAGCUCUUCCAGAGAAACUCUCAGAAAAUAGUCCUUAAUUGUACAAGUUCAAUUGUAGCAGGAGGUUAUCAGUUGCAAGGGCUGUAUUUCAUUACAGAUCUAGCCACAGCUCAAUAAAUUAAGCAAUCACUCAAAAUAACAUGUUGCUUUAAUCCCUUCUUGGAACAAAUUCAAGUUGCUUGGUUUUAUAUUAGCACAGCUCUUGAAAGGCAACUCACAUUGGCCUCAUUUCUGUAUCCUCAAUUCAUCAGCCCCUCUCUGGAUAAAUCUUUGCAUCUCCCGACGAGCGGGAUGGAGGAUUCCAUGCUGAGCAGAUCUCCUUUUAUCAAAACGGAGUGUUUCCACCCUCCGGUCUUUACACACGCGUUCCGUGUUUCAUCCUCUGAACUCCCGGGCAGGUUUGUCUGCAAAAAGACAGAAAGAGACUGAGGCAACAGCCCAGUUUUGAAACACCUUCCGCAGCCCGGCUCGGGCACAUAAAGUGAAAUGGCUUUUCCACCCUCGUCUUCUCUCUAGUGGUUGAUAAUCUCACAGUAGAAUUUCGUUUCCCCUAGAAACUUGGCACCGGAGGUGUCAGCCCGGGAACAUAUUUGUUUGUGUAAAUGAAAAGAAGAAUAUGUUUUGACCAUAUUUAAGUUCUAACCGCACUAAAGAAAUAAAUACUGAGCUGCACAAGGCGUCACUGCACGGUUCUGGCUCACCUCCCCAAACUCUGCCUUUGUUUAUAAAACCCAAGUGAGAACUCUGAAUGGUUUAGCACCUCUGAAAGCUGCAGGGACAACCUCGGAGGUGGUGUCCGCCCCCACCCCACCCCCAGGACAACAUGGAAAGUCCACUUACCUGAGUUUGGGAUGGGCUUUCCCUGACCUGCUGCAUCCUUGCCAAGGUGGGCAAGAGUGCUGGAAACAGACACCCUCACACGUGCAUGGUUUGUUUGUUUGUUUGUUUGUUUUGCUUUUUAGGGUCACACCCGCAGCACAUGGAGGUUCCCAGGCGAGGGAUCCAAUCGGAGCUCCAGCCACCGACCUAUGCCACAGCCACAGCAACGCCAGAUCUGAGCCACAUCUGCGACCUACAGCACAGCUCAGGGCAACACCGGAUCCUUAACCCACUGAGUGAGGCCAGGGAUUGAACCUGCGUCCUCAUGGAUACUAGUGAGAUUCGCUUCCGCUGCGCCAGGAUGGGAAUGCCACCUGUGUGUUGUUGGGCGUGAGAAUGAUAUCACCGUGGUGAAGGGCACGGGGCAGUCGCUGUAGAAAUUAAAAAUGCCCGUAUCUUCUGGCCUAGAAAUUCCACUUUGAGGAAUGUAUCUGAUGAGUAUACUUGGACCCGUGCCAAGGAGUAUAUCCGUUAUAAGAGCAAAAUCCUGGAGUGACAGAAAUGUUGGCCAGCAGGGGACAGGUUAAGUACGGUGCCUUGCCAGAAGUCAUCAGGAAGAUGGUUGUGGGUUGGAGGGCUGCCGUGGCUUCAGGAUGUAUUAUCACGCCCCCAAUGUUCUUAAUGUCACAAGCAAAAAACAUAUAUGCUCUCGAACACGCUUAGGAAACGUACGAAGAUCAUGCAGAUGCACACAGGGGCUACAUUUAGAAAGUGAAACUGGAGUCAGAGCACAACUGCAAAGGGGCUCCUUGAUUUCCCAUAUUUCUGUACUGUUUUUCUUACCAUAAGCAUGAUAGUAGUUUUAAAAACUGGGAUAAUGAAAAAAAAAAAAACUAAAAUGGUGUUUUCACAAUCAUUACACACUCUGACUGGAGCAAAUGUGACACAACCUGAAUACCCUUUUCAUUACUUGUCUGUCAAGCCAAUGGAAUGGGGGUGGGAAUCUUGGCUUUCUGGUCUUUAUGCAAAUAACUCAGUGGGCUGAAAGGUGACCCCCAGAGAGAGAAAAGAUACAGACACUUCUUAGUCCCCAGAAACCUUCCUCGGUUUCUGUACGGAAAGGGGUGUGAUUAAAUUAAGGAUCCGAGAGGAGGGGUUUCUUCUGGAUCAUUCAGAUGGGCCCUAAAUGCAAUUCCAUGCACCCUUAUAUGAGAAAAGCAGAGGUAGCUCCAGAGAGAAGAAGAACAGAUGAAGAUGGAGGCAAAGAUUGGAGUCAUGUGGCCACAUGUCCAGGAACACUGGGGCCACCAGAAGGAGAUGAGGCAAAGAAUGGAUUUUCCUCUGGAGCAUCUGGGAGCCAGGUAGUCCUUCCAACUUCUAGCCUCCAGGACCAUGAAGUGAUAAAUUCCAGUUGUUUUAAGCCACUCAGGUUAUGGUAAUUUGUUAUGGCAGCCCUAGGAACCUACCACACCACCUGACUUUCCUCAUACUGGUAAAAUGCACGAAGUGCAUAGAGAGAAAGAAAUUUGGUAAGACUCUGGUUUGGGUGAAUUCAGUCAUUCAUCCCAGAUAUUUACUGAGCAUCUACCAAGUGCCAAGGAUACAGCAGAAAACAAAUCAAAGACGGCUGCCCACCUGGAGCGGCGGCCAUUGCAGUGAGCGAGAGAAAGAGAGAGCAGAUAAAAUAAAUACAACACAGAGAAAGACCAGGGGUGGUGGAAGUGAACAAGAGUGAGAAUGAGAAGGCAUGGAAGAAGGGCAGGGGUCAGGAAGGGGACUGGGAGAACGCAGUUCACUGAGAAAGCAACAUUGGAGUAGAGACCUGAAGGAGAUGAGGGCACCAGCUGUGUCCACCUGAGGGUCGAGGAUCCAGCAGAGGAAACCAGUAUAGAACUUGACCCUGUGAGUGACUCGUUGGUUGAUUAGAAUCCACAGGAAGGAAUGACCCUUUCUCCCCACCUCCUCCUCUCCCUUCCUUCCUCUCUUCUAUACUUGCUGCCGGCUGCCCGCCUGCCAAGUGUGCCAACAGCUGGGGGUGCAAAAGUGAGUGAGACCUGGGUCCCCAAGCUCAAGGUCACCACUCAUGAGGGGGACAGUCAUAAAUAAAUCAUUACAAAUGGAACCUGGUGGGCAUCAGAGCAGAAGAAAGGACAAGCUGCAGGAUCUGCCCUUGGUGGACAGAGGGGUGGAAGAGAGGUGGGGUGUGGGUUGGGGAUGAGUUCGGGUGAUGGAAGCAGGCAGGAAGAGGGCAGGACUUGAAGUCCAAGAGCAAGUGAGUAGUUCUGAUUCAGCGGUAAAUUAAGGGUGGGGGGCACGGCCUGGAGAUGUGUCUAGGGAACCCAUCAUUCUCAAUCAAGUACAGCAGGCACACCUAGGGGAGGCUGAGGGACGAUAACCUACCCCUUUUAGCUUCACACAAUACAUGAAGAGGCAAACAGUUCCCAAGUCCCGAAUCAGAACGCUUUGGACCAUACAGAGUUGAUGUGAGAUCCACUAUUAGGGGAGCUAUGAUGAAGAAGGAGAGACGCUGAUAAUGCUCUUGGAUACAGAGACAGAACACAGAGCGUGCUCUCGUCCUCCCCUGUCCCCUAUCCCGCCCCUGAUCUCUC
ensembl:lncRNA